GUGGUGGUAUGUAAACAGCUACAAAGUACAAAUUAAAACUCUCUUGGUAGGUAGUGUGGUCUACAGCUUAUCAUGAGAUACUCUACGUCAGGCAAGCAAUAGCUUGAGACUUCCUUAGAUAUCGUGCACCAGCUGUUGUUUACAAAAAUACAAAGACCGCCGCCCCUUGUCUUACCAGAUGCCGCUGUUCUAUCCUUCCCGAUACAUCAUAUAACCAACCAGCUGUAUGUUGAUAUUAUCGUCAUUGAGCCACGACUCCGUGAAGCAUAAGAUGUUACAGUUUUUAAUGUCCCGUUGGUAGUUUAAUCGUCUGUGUAACUUGUCAAUUAUUGUCCAAAGAUUGCACGUUUGCUAGCAGAAUGGAGGGAAAUGGGGGUUAAUUUGAUUGCCUAUGAAUUCUCAGAAGGCAGCCCGACCUGCGGCCACUCUUUCUCCGUCUCCUCUUCACGGGGAUUAGGGAAGCAGUGUAUCCUUCGCGUCGGGCUUGUCAGAGUCGUUAGAGUCAUGAAGGAAAAAGAGGAUUCUGCUAGUCCGUGGUGAGUAAAUCACAGUCCUGAUGUCUUGAAGCUAUUUUCGGUCAUAAAAGACGGUAGCGGGAACAUUAUGUACAAAAUAAGUAAAAAAACAAGUUACAAACAAUGCAAAUAAACAAAUGAAAAACACAAUCGGCUGGGGGCACGUAAAACGUCUACCAUCUAAUUCCGGCUCCAUUUUACACAUCUUGCUCCUACCGUCCUAUAGGCAGAAACUCAAACAGGAUGUACCUGUGACUAGAACUAUUCAAUGCUGGUCUGACCAAUCGGAUAAUACAUUGCCGGUGAUGCAGCCCGCUUCCAAGGACUCGGGGCUGCCCCUCUCCUUCUUCGUGGCCGACGUGAACGCGUUAACCCUCGUAAGGCUGCUGGCCCAGACAGAAUCCCUAACCCCGUCCACAGGCUGCUGGCCCAGACAGCAUCCCUAACCCCGUCCACAGGCUGCUGGCCCAGACAGCAUCCCUAACCCCGUCCACAGGCUGCUGGCCCAGACAGAAUCCCUAACCCCGUCCACAGGCUGCUGGCCCAGACAGCAUCCCUAACCUUGUCCACAGGCUGCUGGCCCAGACAGCAUCCCUAACCCCGUCCACAGGCUGCUGGCCCAGACAGCAUCCCUAACCCCAUCCACAGGCUGCUGGCCCAGACAGAAUCCCUAACCCCGUCCACAGGCUGCUGGCCCAGACAGCAUCCCUAACCCCGUCCACAGGCUGCUGGCCCAGACAGCAUCCCUAACCCCGUCCACAGGCUGCUGGCCCAGACAGCAUCCCUAACUCCGUCCACAGGCUGCUGCCCCAGACAGCAUCCCUAACCCCGUCCACAGGCUGCUGGCCCAGACAGCAUCCCUAACCCCAUCCACAGGCUGCUGGCCCAGACAGCAUCCCUAACCCCGUCCACAGAGCAUGUUCAGACCAGCUGGCUGGUGUAUUUACGGACAUAUUCAAUCGCUCCCUAUCCCAGUCUGCUGUCUAAAUGACUAAAAGACUUCUCAGCUUUUUAUUUUGAAUACAUUUUUAAAGUAUUGAGUGUAGAUCAGUGACAAAACAUCUACGUUUAGGGGGACUGAAUAGUUUCUGAAGGCACUGUAUUUCCAAUAACCACAGAUGUUUGAAGCUGGUGUACAAAACAGAACGUUCACAGACGCCAAACUUAAGGGCAGGACGCAUAAAAAGAGAGCUCAUGGAACUGAUAGACUUCAAUGAGAACCUCAAUCUAUGUGAAUUUUGUCUGGUUUCCCAUAAAGCAACAUACUGGACCUUUAAAGUGUGUGUGCCAGUAGAUACCACGGUAGAGGCUCAGCCAGAGAGAGCUGGAGAGACAGACAUGACAGAUUCCAGGAAGUGGCUGAGCUGGAGAGACAGACAUGACAGAAGGAGGUGGCUGAGCUGGAGAGACAGACAUGACAGAAGGAGGUGGCUGAGCUGGAGAGACAGACAUGACAGAAGGAGGUGGCUGAGCUGGAGAGACAGACAUGACAGAAGGAGGUGGCUGAGCUGGAGAGACAGACAUGACAGAAGGAGGUGGCUGAGCUGGAGAGACAGACAUGACAGAAGGAGGUGGCUGAGCUGGAGAGACAGACAUGACAGAAGGAGGUGGCUGAGCUGGAGAGACAGACAUGACAGAAGGAGGUGGCUGAGCUGGAGAGACAGACAUGACAGAAGGAGGUGGCUGAGCUGGAGAGACAGACAUGACAGAAGGAGGUGGCUGAGCUGGAGAGACAGACAUGACAGAAGGAGGUGGCUGAGCUGGAGAGACAGACAUGACAGAAGGAGGUGGCUGAGCUGGAGAGACAGACAUGACAGAAGGAGGUGGCUGAGCUGGAGAGACAGACAUGACAGAAGGAGGUGGCUGAGCUGGAGAGACAGACAUGACAGAAGGAGGUGGCUGAGCUGGAGAGACAGACAUGACAGAUAGGGAGGAGGUGGCUGAGCUGAGAGACAGACA